ACUCCACUGAGGAGUCCCAUACUAGGACGAAACGGCCGUCCAGUGU
rfam:Schistosoma margrebowiei strain Zambia genome assembly, scaffold: SMRZ_contig0001691